rnacentral:rRNA from 1 species
GAUGAACGCUGGCGGCGUGCCUAAUACAUGCAAGUCGAGCGAACAGACGAGGAGCUUGCUCCUCUGACGUUAGCGGCGGACGGGUGAGUAACACGUGGAUAACCUACCUAUAAGACUGGGAUAACUUCGGGAAACCGGAGCUAAUACCGGAUAAUAUAUUGAACCGCAUGGUUCAAUAGUGAAAGACGGUUUUGCUGUCACUUAUAGAUGGAUCCGCGCCGCAUUAGCUAGUUGGGAAGGUAAAGGCUUACCAAGGCAACGAUGCGUAGCCGACCUGAGAGGGUGAUCGGCCACACUGGAACUGAGACACGGUCCAGACUCCUACGGGAGGCAGCAGUAGGGAAUCUUCCGCAAUGGGCGAAAGCCUGACGGAGCAACGCCGCGUGAGUGAUGAAGGUCUUCGGAUCGUAAAACUCUGUUAUUAGGGAAGAACAAAUGUGUAAGUAACUAUGCACGUCUUGACAGUACCUAAUCAGAAAGCCACGGCUAACUACGUG